GUGUCAGCAGCCGCGGUAAGACGAACCGUGCGAACGUUGUUCGGAAUCACUGGGCUUAAAGGGCGCGUAGGCGGGCCCCCUUGUCCGGGGUGAAAGCUUUCGGCUUAACCGGAAAAGUGCCCCGGAAACGGGGGGCCUGGAGGGAGGUAGGGGCGGCCGGAACUUCCGGUGGAGCGGUGAAAUGCGUUGAUAUCGGAAGGAACGCCGGUGGCGAAAGCGGGCCGCUGGACCUCUACUGACGCUGAGGCGCGAAAGCCAGGGGAGCGAACGGGAUUAGAUACCCCGGUAGUCC
rnacentral:rRNA from 1 species